rfam:Oryza nivara chromosome 6, whole genome shotgun sequence.
AAAAAGGCAAACCCUGGGUUUUCGUGUCCAACGUUUGACUGUCCGUCUUAUAUGAAUUUUUUUAUAAUUAGUAUUUUCAUUAUUGUUAGAUGAUAAAACAUGAUUAAUACUUUAUGCGUGACUUGUCUUUUUAAUUUUUUUUCAUAUUUUUUUCAAAUAAGACGGACGGUCAAACAUUGAAUACGGAAACCCAGGUUUGUCUUUUUU